UCCUCUUGGACCAAUACAUAUAAAGGCAAUGGUGGAAAGUCAAUAAUGUCACUAGGUCAAGGGCACUUGAUAAUACAGAGCCAAUAAAUGUUCUUCGUCCGUAUUUACACAGAGCUGAUCUUAAAAAAAAAAAAAAAAAAAAAAAAAAAAGCCAUAAGCUCUACUCAUGUGAAAAUCGCAAGGCUUUUGUGGAAGUUACCAUCCAGUACAUAUUUCUGCUGUCAGACUACUUCUGUCACUGCAUUUAAACCAUGAAGUGCAUUUGCUGCUGAUUCAACUAUUAUGGCAGGAAAAUGACCUGUAAAGUUCUUUUGAGGAGCCUGGCAUUCUGCAUAUAUUAUAGAAAUACAAGAGGAGAGAAAAUGUGUUAAAAAUGAAGUUUAUGAAAAGUCAUCCAACUAAACUUUACACUUCAUGGAAUACAGAGACUGCCUGAUUUCUGAGACUAAAGAAGGGGGAACAAAAAGAAACCUGUCAAGGCAGAAAAUCUCCAUAUUCUCAUGUUUUCAAGGGCAGUUGUCAACUUUUUUCUAACUAGGAAAUCUCCACGAGCUGUGGUUCUCAGCCUGGCCGGGGGUGGCUUCUCCAGGAUGUACGGCAGAUCUGUGAGAGGAGGCUGGACACUGCCUAGCCAAGAGCCAAUCGUGGCUACCGUCGCUGAAAGGAACAUUACCUAGGCUGGCUCCUGCUCAUCCAUCAAGUCAACUCUCCUGAUGUCACCCCAGGCCAGCUUUUCCUGCUCCCCUGUGCUGCUGCUUCUCUGGGCACAAGGAGUGCAGAGUCAUGUGAUGGGGACAAGAGUCAAGGUGGCUGAAACCCUGAGUGUAAAAUGCCUUUAUCCUUUGCCCUGACUGCAGAGCUUUGAGGUCAAGUGGAGCCACGGAAGCCAGGUCUGCAGGACAAAGUUGGAUUUUUCUUUUCAUAUUUUUCCUUCCUCACAUCUCCAUAGGAGAGGCAAGCCUUUUGAGGACACAAUGCCUAGACUCAGCAUGAAAGUGUUUCUCAGUGAACCAUGUCCCUGCCAGCCCAAUCUGUAUUUAAAUUACAUGAAAAAUUCAUGAGUUUCAUAGAAACAACUUCAAUCCAUUAUCAUCACAUACUCCUUUGUCUGGGAAACAGAUCCCUACUGGGUACCAGGGAAGACGGUUGAGAAGACGCCAGUGUUAGGAAGAACAGACAGCACAGGGCCAGGCCAUUAAUCACUACCACUUAUGGGUCCUCCUACUUCAAAAUGGGACUUCUAUUGACAUCUGGAGGGAGAGAGACACAGCCCCAAUAGCAUCCUCAUUGCAUCUGUAGGUCCCUCAAUCAUUUCCUAGAAUGGGAAAAGCAAUAACUUGCAUGUCUACUGCAUAUAAAAACAAUUUGGAAAAAUUGGAAUUGACUUAGAGAUACUUAAAAGGAGACUCAGAUUUACACACGAUAAUAUGUCUGGCGUUGGCUUUAUAUUCCGCUAAACACCUCUCCCCGCAAAGAAAAAUGCACCUAGGGAGCAACAGAACUAGAAGAAACAGGAUGGGCCAUGAGUUAAUAAUGGUUGAUGUGAAGUGGAUACAUGAGGGUUAAUUAUAAAAUUCUCUCUACACUUGUGUAGGUUUGAACAUUUUCAGAACGCAAAGUUUAAAAAAUAAAUUGAGAUUUGCAGCCCGUGUACCAUAAAGAAAAAAAAAAAUCCCAGGGCAACUCGCAAGGUAAAAAACAAGCAGAUUCUACCUGGCAAAGGCAGCCUCGUGUGGUUCCUGGGAUGGAGGGCACACAGGUAUACUUAACAUCAUUUACACUGUCUCUGAUAACACAGUGUAAUGGAGCAAAGUAUAUUCUCGACGAUUGUCAGUGUGGGGAGAAAUGCAUUUGUAAAGAUUUAUUGUCACUGUUGUUUUUUAAUGCUUGAUGUUCUGGAGUUAUUCUUAGAGCAAAAUAAAAGGUGUUUCCUGUGCUGAAGGUAUUUUA